CUCUCACAUCAAAGUGUAAUUCUUAUUGUUAACUAUCUGCUUAUUCAAAUGCUUAUUUUGUUGAUAUUGCAACUUAAUGCUGUCUAAUGGGAUUUCAAGAUGCCCUUUUCUUCUCUUUUUUUGGGGUUUUCCCAGGUCGUCUUUUCUGUUCCUAUUGACUAUUACUUUAGUUGAAACUAUAUUAAUUCAAUAUCUAUGCUUAUUUUAGUUAUAUGGGAAAUGAUCA
rnacentral:lncRNA from 1 species